GCUGGGCAUGGUGAUGCGUGCCUGUAAUCCUAGCUACUCGGGAGGCUGAGGCAGGAGAAUCGCUUGAACCCAGGAGAUGGAGGUUGCAGUGAGCCGAGAUCACACCACUGCACUCCAGCCAGGGCGACAGAGCGAGACUCUGCCUCAA
rnacentral:SRP_RNA from 1 species